rnacentral:rRNA from 1 species
UACGCAGGGUGCGAGCGUUGUCCGGAAUUAUUGGGCGUAAAGAGUUCGUAGGCGGUCUGUCGCGUCCGUUGUGAAAGCCCAGGGCUCAACCCUGGGUCUGCAGUGGAUACGGGCAGACUAGAGUCAGGUAGGGGAGAACGGAAUUCCUGGUGUAGCGGUGAAAUGCGCAGAUAUCAGGAGGAACACCAAUAGCGAAGGCAGCUCGCUGGGACGGUACUGACGCUAAGGCGCGAAAGCGUGGGGAGCGAACAGG